GACGAACGCUGGCGGCGUGCUUAACACAUGCAAGUCGAACGGAAAGGCCCUGCUUUUGUGGGGUGCUCGAGUGGCGAACGGGUGAGUAACACGUGAGUAACCUGCCCUUGACUUUGGGAUAACUUCAGGAAACUGGGGCUAAUACCGGAUAGGAGCUCCUGCUGCAUGGUGGGGGUUGGAAAGUUUCGGCGGUUGGGGAUGGACUCGCGGCUUAUCAGCUUGUUGGUGGGGUAGUGGCUUACCAAGGCUUUGACGGGUACCCGGCCUGAGAGGGUGACCGGCCACAUUGGGACUGAGAUACGGCCCAGACUCCUACGGUAGGCAGCAGGGGGGAAUAUUGCACAAUGGGCGCAAGCCUGAUGCAGCAACGCCGCGUGCGGGAUGAAGGCCUUCUGGUUGUAAACCGCUUUCGCCUGUGACGAAGCGUGAUUGACGGUAAUGGGUAAAGAAGCACCGGCUAACUACGUG
rnacentral:rRNA from 1 species